rnacentral:misc_RNA from 1 species
CUGAGUACUACACUCUCUACCCUUUGUGAACUAUUAUACCUGUUGCUUCGGCGGCGCCCGCGAGGGUGCCCGCCGGUCUCAUCAGAAUCUCUGUUUUCGAACCCGACGAUACUUCUGAGUGUUCUUAGCGGACUGUCA